rnacentral:tRNA from 1 species
GGAAGCAUAGCUCAGCUGGUUCAGAGCAUCUCGUUUACACCGAGAGGGUCCGCGGUUCGAAUCCGUGUGCUUCCAC